rnacentral:rRNA from 1 species
AUGUUUUUUUUCUUCAUUUUGCGAAUCGUGAAAUCUGUAUUUGUUUCCGCACACUGGGUUCCAAAAGGGUGCAUUCGUCAUGCUGUAAAAGAAUUUGGUCGCCGAUACAGCAUCUGGAUCUUCUUUUUUCAACAACCUUGCUGUGAGCCAACUACCUUGGCAUUUCUGCUGGCGAGUGACAACCUUAUUGCUGCUUCUUCCAUUCAUUUUUCUUUUCUGACUGGGGGCGCUUUGGUGCUUCUCCAGCUGCAACGCCAGCGUUGCCUGCCUCUAGAACUUAGGAAGGCAAGGCAGUGCGGUACCCAACCGUAUUGUUAG